GCUGCUGCUGCUGCCUGCCCACCCCAAGUGUGGAAACUGAAAUGGCCCAGUAGAAUUCCAGCCCUGGUGAGGAGCCACAGAGGGGAUCAAGACAGAUCGCCAGAGCGCCAGCUCCCUUCAACACACAGCAACAGGCUCCUGCAUCGAUCCUCCAGCUAUUGGGUCUAAGCUGCCACUUUAUAACUCCUCCAGCUUACUUUAGCUCCAGCACUAUUGUUGGAUGCAGAGGUGGUCGGAAGGCAAUGUACGCAGUGACUCUACCUUCCUAGCUUUGGUUGUGCUUGUAGGACCACUCACACUGCAUGGACAACAGCAGCCUCUAUAACCAGGAAAUGACUUCACAUCAAUCUCGGCUGCUCAUCCUCUUGGUCACUUUAACCCCUCCAACUACUUCUCUGCCUGCCUUUUGGAAAGAAGAGUAAGCCUUGUCCUCCUUUACCCGGACUUCCCAUGUUACCUCCCACCUCUUAAGAAUCUUGCAUCAUUUUCCCAUGUCAUGGAAGGAUUUAUACCUGAUAUUUGACCUUCCAUUAACAUUGUUCUGCUCCAGCGUGGGAAGGUAAGUUGACAUUGUCAGGCUUGAUACUGAGUACUGACUUUACAAGACCAGAGCCACGGGACUUCUCUAUGACCAACGCCCACCUCUGGAGUCAGGCUUACAAGCAAACCUUGAUCAUCAUGGAUCUCUUGAUGACAGUCACUGAUGCAGUGUGAAGCAAUGGUCAGUGUAGUGUCUGAACUGGUUUCCAGGACACCUUUCACUAGGGAGCAACUCACUGAUUUGGCAAGAGAAAAUGAACUAAACUGGGACUCCAGGGUACUAAUCUGUGUGAAUCCUGCACCUGAAGGUAAGAUUGAGUACAGUAAGUAUCUGUUGGUGGUAGAAGAUGAGUCUCUGAAGCCUGGUCUUGAUGUGCUGAAAAUGAUCCCAUGAAGUGCCCUGUGCCAGGAUCCAUGACACACAGGAAAGUUAUCAUUGAUUUGCUCAACUGAAGAGCAAUGGGAGACUGAGAGACUGCAGAGGUGUGACAAGGGAGGAGCCAGCUUCUCUGCUGUAGUUGGCCACCAGCUCCAUUCUGACCGUCUGAUCCUGGCCUGUUAACAAACACUGAUGUAUAUUACAGGCUUUGACCAGAUCUUCCCAGCAGGAUGAGAGCCAUCUUGUACUGUCACUUACUUCUAGAUCCCUGAUCCUCUGGUGAGUCCCAUGCGCACACAACAAGAUCCAGUCAGUUUGAUCAGAGAGAGAGAAAUUUUCAGUUUGUGGGUAUCACCUGGUGACAGGCUCUGUUUCUGUGGCACAUCAGUGAAGGCAGAGUUUUAGACAUGGUAGAGGAGUCUGUUGAAUUCUGGAAAUGAGAUAAGGAAAUUUCUUGAAUCCUCAUUUUAUAGUUAUUUGUGUGUUUUUUUUUUUAAGAUUGGGUCUCACUCUAUAGCCCUGGCUAUCCUGAGAGACUCUUUGUAGAACAUGCAGUUCUCAAACUCACAGUGAUGGACCCCCUUCUCUGCUUCCUGACUUCAGCGUUUACAGAUGUGGACUCACAUGCCUGUCUUCAAGUGCUGGAUAGCAUCAAUGGUAAAUUCCUGCAAACAUUUGAGGCGGAAGGAGACAAUUCUGUGCUUCUUUCAUCCUGACAGUGUCAGGGACUGAACUGAAGGUUCUGUUAUCCAGGAUGGACUACAAACAACAGCAAAUUCCAAUUCUAACCCUCAGAAUAGAAGUCCAUGUCCACCAGUGAACAGAUACCUGCAGGAUUCCCACUGCCAUCCAGGCACACAUCCCAUGACUUCAACCUGUCCAAUCAGGAGAGUCCAGACUGGCUACCUGGUCUGAUGGAUUGAGUUCUUUCCAUUUGAGCCAUGAGAUCACAGCUGAGGACUCAAGGUGUGGCCUGAGACAGCAGAAGUAGGAGCUCUGCAGGAAGUCCAGAUGGCAGUGUGCCCACUUCCCCAGCAUAGAGGGUCUCUGUCCAGCACAGGAGGAGGAAAGUGACAGCAAGCUGGAGGAAAAUGGGUACCACAUCGAUGGAAUGCAGAGAAUUUGCUCCACUUUGGAAACUAGCAUGGCAUUGUCGGAGCUCCAGAGGAACUCAGAGAUUCCACACAGCAACAGGAGGACAUGCUGUGGAGGACAAUGACAUGGUUUCUCUUCCACCAUCCAACUACAGACAAGGACUCCAAGUUAACCACAAGAACUGUGGAAUCUACAGGAGUGGGCCCUUUUGAAAGCCUCCCAUUGAUAAUCCUGAAAACCUGCCUGACCAUGUAAAGAAAUAUCUCAGAGGAGCCUUGGGAAUUAAAUGUGCUUCCCUUCCUGAACUCUUGGGUGGAUACGUGAGAAGGGCAGUAUCCAUGGACCACCUGUCCCAGGCUUCCACUAACAUGAAGAAGGAGAACUUGAGGUCAUACCCUCGGCCCAUCUUUAACUGGUAUUAGACAGAGACAAUUUUCAAACAAAUACUGAUGCACUUAAUUAGAAUAACAACAUAAUUUCUAUAAAAUGGCAUUCAGAAUGUUUGACCCCUGGAGGAGAGAAAUCUGAAGCUAUAUGAGCUCUCAGUUCUACCAGUUGUUCUUCUAAAGGUAACAGAUGUUUUCACUUCAUCUAUACACUCAGCAAAAUCCAGUCUGAUGCUCAAACACAAGACGUAAAAACCAACUGGACCUAAACCUAGAAGAGAGGGCAAGAGGACAGGACAGAUUCCUGCAGACCAUCAUCUUCUUCUUCCAGGACUUCCCACCAAGUCUCAGAGAUCCACAAAGUGCUACAGGGAAGUAAUGGAGACAGGACAUAUGGAACAGAAGAGAAAGUUAAGUAACAGACCCAGUGAAAUCCUGCCAGCUGAUGUUCUCAUAGUCAACCAGGGAAAUCAAGGCAGAGAGUGUGGCUUGUCCACAAUUGACUGCAGAAGAAGAUUUAAAAACAAGAAUAAGGAACCCCUUUU